ACCCCUAGUCCUAACGCACCCUCAAAGCUUUGUCUCGGUGGGACAAACUGACUCCUGUUGGGUGCGCCCUUGAAAUGUGGUCUUUGGUAGUUGAGGGUUGAAUCGGGUUGGUUAAAGAACAAUGUCUAUUGUGGUGUGUAGUAGUCUUGUUGGUAAUCCUCUUGUAUACCUGUGUCGGGGCUAAGUGGAGGACUAGAAGAGCCCGGGACAUCGUCGUGAUGGAAGUGUUGGGAUUGGUGUUGGUGGGGGGAUUGAGUUUGUGGUAGGUGUUGGGACUGUUGAUGGUGGUGGGAAUGUUGAGGUUGGUGUUGAUAAUCUUCAUGAUAUUGGGGUUGAGUUUGUGGUAUGUAGUGUUGAUUUGGUUGGGGGGUGGACAUGUGUUGUGGUGGUUGUUGUUGGUAAUACGGUGGUGGUGGUUGUUUUUGGUAAUAUGGUGGUGGUGAUUGUUGUUGAUAAUACGGUGGUGGUGGUUGUUGUUGGUAAUAUGGUGGUGGUUGUUGUUGUUGGUAAUAUU
rnacentral:lncRNA from 1 species